AUUGAACGCUGGCGGCAGGCUUAACACAUGCAAGUCGAGCGGAGAUGAGGUGCUUGCACCUUAUCUUAGCGGCGGACGGGUGAGUAAUGCUUAGGAAUCUGCCUAUUAGUGGGGGACAACAUUCCGAAAGGAAUGCUAAUACCGCAUACGUCCUACGGGAGAAAGCAGGGGAUCUUCGGACCUUGCGCUAAUAGAUGAGCCUAAGUCGGAUUAGCUAGUUGGUGGGGUAAAGGCCUACCAAGGCGACGAUCUGUAGCGGGUCUAAGAGGAUGAUACGCCACACAGGGACUGAGACACGGCCCAGACUCCUACGGGAGGCAGCAGUGGGGAAUAUUGGACAAUGGGGGGAACCCUGAUCCAGCCAUGCCGCGUGUGUGAAGAAGGCCUUAUGGUUGUAAAGCACUUUAAGCGAGGAGGAGGCUACUGAGACUAAUACUCUUGGAUAGUGGACGUUACUCGCAGAAUAAGCACCGGCUAACUCUGUGCCAGCCGCCGCCGUAACAC
rnacentral:rRNA from 1 species